UUUUAAGUUGAGUUCAGUUCAGGGCAGCUUCCCUGUUCUGUUCAUUAAACCUUGGGACAUUUACACAGGCUUGGGGAAAUGACUGGGUAGGAAAUAUUAUUCUAUUCACUUUGGUCUUAGCCUAUAUUU